UGGCUCAGAUGGUAAAGCAUCUGCCUGUAAUGCAGGAAACCCGGGUUCGAUCCCUGG
rnacentral:tRNA from 1 species